rnacentral:misc_RNA from 1 species
GGGCAGAUGACUUUCUAGUGAAGUAGAAGACAGCAUCGACGUCUGGGAGACCGUCGGAGAGGCCCUGCUGGAUGUACUGCUGCCCGCCGUAAAUCUGAGUGUAGAAAUCCUCGUGAGCGACCUCACCGACGUUUUCCAGUGGGAGGCCCCGGGGCCAGACUGUCCGCUGGCCGAAGUGGACGUAGGGGUUGACUACGGUCCGGUUAGGGUUGGCGUGGCUGUACUGGAGGAUCACGGGGACGUCGCCGGUGAGAUCGAGGUCGAAGCGGUGAGCGAGGUCGGAGCCGAGGACGUCAGCGCGGUGGUCGGCGUCGUAGAUGAGACGGGCGCCG